GACGAACGCUGGCGGCGUGCUUAACACAUGCAAGUCGUACGGAAAGGCCCUGCUUUUGUGGGGUGCUCGAGUGGCGAACGGGUGAGUAACACGUGAGUAACCUGCCCUUGACUUUGGGAUAACUUCAGGAAACUGGGGCUAAUACCGGAUAGGAGCUCCUGCUGCGUGGUGGGGGUUGGAAAGUUUCGGCGGUUGGGGAUGGACUCGCGGCUUAUCAGCUUGUUGGUGGGGUAGUGGCUUACCAAGGCUUUGACGGGUAGCCGGCCUGAGAGGGUGACCGGCCACAUUGGGACUGAGAUACGGCCCAGACUCCUACGGGAGGCAGCAGUGGGGAAUAUUGCACAAUGGGCGGAAGCCUGAUGCAGCAACGCCGCGUGCGGGAUGACGGCCUUCGGGUUGUAAACCGCUUUCGCCUGUGACGAAGCGUGAGUGACGGUAAUGGGUAAAGAAGCACCGGCUAACUACGUG
rnacentral:rRNA from 1 species